rnacentral:rRNA from 1 species
UAAUACAUAAGUAACCUGCCCUAGACAGGGGGAUAACUAUUGGAAACGAUAGCUAAGACCGCAUAGGUACGGACACUGCAUGGUGACCGUAUUAAAAGUGCCUCAAAGCACUGGUAGAGGAUGGACUUAUGGCGCAUUAGCUGGUUGGCGGGGUAACGGCCCACCAAGGCGAUGAUGCGUAGCCGACCUGAGAGGGUGACCGGCCACACUGGGACUGAGACACGGCCCAG